rnacentral:rRNA from 1 species
UACGGGGGGGGUAAGCGUUGUUCGGAAUUACUGGGCGUAAAGGGCUCGUAGGCGGCCAACUAAGUCAGACGUGAAAUCCCUCAGCUUAACUGGGGAACUGCGUCUGAUACUGGAUGGCUUGGAUUGGGAGAGGAAUGCGGAAUUCCAGGUGUAGCGGUGAAAAUGCGUAGAUAUCUGGAGGAACACCGGUGGCGAAGGCGGCAUUCUGGACCGAUAUUGACGCUGAGGAGCGAAAAGCCAGGGGAGCAAACGGG